AAAAAGACAAAUCCUAGUUUCCGUGUCUAACGUUUGACCGUCCGUCUUAUUUGAAAAAAUUAUAAAAAAAUUAAAAAGACAAGUCACGCAUAAAAUAUUAAUCAUGUUUUAUCAUCUAACAACAAUGAAAAUACGAAUUAUAAAAAAUUUUUAUAUAAAAUGGACAGUCAAAGUUGGACACGGAAAUUCAGGGUUUGACUUUUU
rnacentral:pre_miRNA from 1 species